AAUGGUUUGCAGCUAUCUGCUCCAACCCAUGUGACUUACCUUUGUUGCCUCGGCAGUAGUUGCUGGGCGAGCCUACCCGGGAACGAGCUACCCUGUAGCGAGUUACCCUGGAACGACUUACCCUGUAACGCCUGCCGGUGGACUACUAAACUCUUGUUAUUUUUAAGUAAUCUGAGCGUCUUAUUUUAAUAAGUCAAAACUUUCAACAACGGAUCUCUUGGUUCUGGCAUCGAUGAAGAACGCAGCGAAAUGCGAUAAGUAAUGUGAAUUGCAGAAUUCAGUGAAUCAUCGAAUCUUUGAACGCACAUUGCGCCCAUUAGUAUUCUAGUGGGCAUGCCUGUUCGAGCGUCAUUUCAACCCUUAAGCCUAGCUUAGUAUUGGGAAUCGACUUUACUGUCGUUCCUCAAAUUCAACGGCGGAUUUAUAGCAAUCUCUGAACGUAGUAAUUUUUUUUCUCGUUUUUGAAAUACUAUAAACCUCAGCCGCUAAACCCCCAAUUUCUUAUGGUUGACCUCGGAUCAGGUAGGAAUACCCGCUGAACUUAAGCAUAUCAAUAAGCGGAGGAAAUA
rnacentral:rRNA from 1 species